rnacentral:rRNA from 1 species
UACGUAGGGCGCAAGCGUUGUCCGGAAUUAUUGGGCGUAAAGAGCUCGUAGGCGGCUUGUCACGUCGGAUGUGAAAGCCCGGGGCUUAACUCCGGGCCUGCAGUGGGUACGGGCAGACUAGAGUGCGGUAGGGGAGACUGGAAUUCCGUGGUGUAGCGGUGAAAUGCGCAGAUAUCAGGAGGAACACCGGUGGCGAAGGCGGGUCUCUGGGCCGUAACUGACGCUGGAGGAGCGGAAAGCCGUGGGGAGCGAACAG